UACGGAGGGAGCUAGCGUUGUUCGGAAUUACUGGGCGUAAAGCGCACGUAGGCGGCCCGGUAAGUCCGCUGUGAAAGUCGGGGGGCUCAACCCUCGAAUGCCGGUGGAUACUGUCGGGCUAGAGUGCGGAAGAGGCGAGUGGAAUUCCUGGUGUAGCGGUGAAAUGCGCAGAUAUCAGGAGGAACACCAAUUGCGAAGGCAGCUCGCUGGGACGUAACUGACGCUGGAGAACGCGAAAGCGUGGGGGAGCAAACAGG
rnacentral:rRNA from 1 species